GGAGGUAUAGCUCAGUGGCAGAGUAUAUGUUAGCAUGUACAAGGUCCUGGGUUUGAUCCCUAGCACCCCA
rnacentral:tRNA from 1 species